AGCGCUCUUGUGACUUGUUCGAGCCAAUCUUCCGCAACUAACGGAUCCGGUUCUCCCUUGAACGUUGGAGGUCGUAGUUGAAGAAAGGCCUUCAUGGCUGUGGUAGCCCUAUUUUCUGUCGCUCUAAUCGGCACUUGCAUAGUUUGCACAGUGUUUUUCACCACUUGCUCAAUGGCGGUGAACACUCCUUGCAUAAAUUCGACGCCACCCAAAACCGUAGGUGGAACACGUUCUACAUUCCCUUCAGGAGCACUUGCCCUUCCUCCCAUCACCGACUCU
rnacentral:lncRNA from 1 species